rnacentral:misc_RNA from 1 species
UUUCCGUAGGUGAACCUGCGGAAGGAUCAUUACUGAGUGAGGGCCCCUCGGGGUCCAACCUCCCACCCGUGUUUAACGAACCUUGUUGCUUCGGCGGGCCCGCCUCACGGCCGCCGGGGGGGCAUCUGCCCCCGGGCCCGCGCCCGCCGAAGCCACCUGUGAGCGCUGUCUGAAGUAUGCAGUCUGAGACAAUUAUUAAAUUAAUUAAAACUUUCAACAACGGAUCUCUUGGUUCCG